AUAUUACUCCCUCCGUUCCAAAAUAGAUGACCCAAAUUUAUACUAAAGUUAGUACAAAUUUGGGUCAUCUAUUUUGGAACGGAGGGAGUAGAUC
rfam:Triticum aestivum genome assembly, contig: Triticum_aestivum_CS42_TGACv1_scaffold_321921_4BL